GACUACAAGGGUAUCUAAUCCUGUUUGCUACCCUAGCUUUCGCACCUCAGUGUCAGUAUUGGGCCAGGAGACUGCUUUCGCCAUCGGUGUUCCUCCUGAUAUCUACGCAUUUCACCGCUACACCAGGAAUUCCGUCUCCCCCUCCCACACUCAAGCCAGAUAGUAUCUAUGUCCCUUCCCAGUUGAGCCAGGAAAUUUUACCAUAGACUUAUCUAACCACCUACAUACGCUUUACGCCUAGUAAUUCCGAGUAACGCUCGCCACCUACGUAUUACCGCGGCUGCUGGCACGUAGUUAGCCGUGGCUUUUUCUGAGGGUACCGUCAAUUUAUUCUUCCCCUCUAAAAGGAGUUUACAACCCGAAGGCCUUCAUCCUCCACGCGGCGUCGCUGGAUCAGGCUUUCGCCCAUUGUCCAAAAUUCCCCACUGCAGCCACCCGUAGG
rnacentral:rRNA from 1 species